AUUGAACGCUGGCGGCAGGCCUAACACAUGCAAGUCGAACGGUAACAGGAAACAGCUUGCUGUUUCGCUGACGAGUGGCGGACGGGUGAGUAAUGUCUGGGAAACUGCCUGAUGGAGGGGGAUAACUACUGGAAACGGUAGCUAAUACCGCAUAACGUCGCCAGACCAAAGAGGGGGACCUUCGGGCCUCUUGCCAUCGGAUGUCCCCAGAUGGGAUGAGCUAGUAGGUGGGGUAACGGCUCACCGAGGCGACGAUCCCUAGCUGGUCUGAGAGGAUGACCAGCCACACUGGAACUGAGACACGGUCCAGACUCCUACGGGAGGCAGCAGUGGGGAAUAUUGAACAAUGGGCGCAAGCCUGAUGCAGCCAUGCCGUGUGUAUGAAGAAGGCCUUCGGGUUGUAAAGUACUUUCAGCGGGGAGGAAGGGAGUAAAGUUAAUACCUUUGCUCAUUGACGUUACCCGCAGAAGAAGCACCGGCUAACUCCGUGCCAGCCGCCGCCGUAA
rnacentral:rRNA from 1 species